rnacentral:lncRNA from 1 species
CAGAAUGUGAAAGAACUUUGAUAUUCCAGGAGCCUCUUCUUUGGCCCCCAAACAGCAUUAGCCUAUGCUUGGAAGCAAAUGACACAAGAGAGUAAGGCUUGCAAAUAACCAUGUUCUAUCUCUGCAUUACUCUUAAACAGAAACAAGUUGCCUACAUUAUGGAGGAGUACAAUGAUGCCCUUCAGAGAGCUGAAAGAUUGUCUGUUGCGCGGGAAAACUUCCUUAUGGGAAAAAACAAUCCUUCUAACUUAGUGACACAGGAAGACCUGACUAUUUACACAAAGUGGUUUGUGUGUCACCUACACUCACUCAGGACUAUUCACCACUACCUACAGUCCCUCCAGUAUUUGCCCAUCUCCAAAGUGCUGAGUAUAGCUGUCAAUGAAGUUGCUGAGGCUGGUCAGGAGAACGAAAAGAUCUGCGUUGAUGACAUCAACCCUAACAUUCAGAGAUCUUCAUCUCCAGACCCUGGGGAUACCAGCAUUUCAGGACUGACAAGAACAGAAGCUGCUUUUUUCCUGCCCCAACACAUGACCGAAAGAGAAGAACUGACACCUCAGCUGGGGCUCCUGCUCUCCCAUUUCAAUAUCCCCUAUGACGUGGAAGAGCUGAGGGAUGCUGCUCAGGAAAUGGAACUUUUUAACUUGGUUUCCCAAAAAUUUCAAAGCAUCUUCAUGGAGCAACAGAGAAUGCAAACAUUUCCAGAUUAUGAUGCUGAGAUAGCUAAAGUGGAGAAUUUGGGUUUGGCAGGACCUGAUAUGGCCUUGAAAAAGAGAGCUAACUGGAUUUCCUUUAUAAAGAUUAAGCCAAAAUGUGAUCCUUGGCAAAAGAAGAUUUUGACCAAACUAAAAGAACGGAGAAUAGAUGUCUUAAUGCAACUCCAAGCAAAGUUUUUGAAGAUUUCCAGCUCUGAGCGAGUAAUGCAAGUGCUCCAAGACCAUGCUGCAAAGACAGUCAUGCUGGCUCCAUCUCAUCCAACUUCCGUGGCUUCCCAGGGUUUGCAUCAGUGCAACUAUGACCACAUCUGGGAGAGUAUUUACAGCAACAUCAACCUCUACCAGAAUGAAAAUAUGAAAGAAGAUGACCUUUCAAUGGAACAAAAUGAAAAUGACCUAGCACAAAUAAGUCACUGCCAACAUGUUGAUGAGCCUGUCAAGCAGAAAAAAGAGAAAGGGUACAGCUAUGCAAUGGCCCUACAACUGCUGGGUUUGGAUGGUGGGACUGGGCCCAGUGAUAGGGGUCCUGUCCUGAUGAAGGGGACCUACUUGUCCUUUCUGUAUCUGCGCCACUUGCGAAUCAGGGAGCUGCAGCGCACCUGUCUAGGAAUUCUGAACUACUUCAGAUCUGUUGAGCGAACACUGACAAUCAACACUUCAGGCCUUACCUUGGUUGCAGGGAGUCUGGUCCCCACCAUAGAAGAUAACUCCUGUGUAAAUAUGGCCAAAGGAGGCUUAGGCACCUUGCAAGGCCUAGGAGCUCACCACUAUGUCCAUGGGACAGCUGCCGAGCACAAGAUCCACUGUGUCCAAUUCAUGGAGUUCUCUGAAGUGGAGAACCAGGAUGACUACUACAGCAUGGACGCUGGCUCCAUCCACACGCAGGACCAGCACGGAGUACAUAUCAUGUACGACGAAGCCUUGAGGGAUCUGAAGGAGCUCGAGGCAGAACUGCUGCUCGUGGCCAGCCAUUACAUUGAGAAAGAAAAAGGUCACAAAGAGGGCAGCAAGUCAAAUCCUGGCCAGGACUGGGGAUGGGCCCAUGCGAGUGUGGACAGAUUUGCUGUGCUGUAUGACAUGUGGACUUGGGAAGCAGCCCUUCUAGAAAACAAGCGCCAGCUUCUUGACAGUUACUUUGAAGCCUACCAGCAUGUGUUGGACCCUGAGGAGAGGUUUGCCUUAGCACAAGUGAUCACCGACAUCAUGCACAGGCACCCAAGGUUUGAUCUGAGCCACCCCUAUUUCAUUAAGGCCUACCGAGAUGAAUGCACCUGCCUGAGGCUUCACUUGCAGCUAGUGAAGGGCAUCCUCAAUCAGCACAUAGAGCGUCAGCGGGAGUAUGUCCAGAGGCUUUGGCAAGAAGGCCGUCCAGAUGAUAGCAGUAACUUUGGACUUCCCCUUAACAUCAUUUGCAAGCAGCUUAUUUCCAUCAACAAUAGCUGCCCAGCUUUGAAAAACGUUUAUCUACUGGAGUUCCACCCUUCCCUGGGCCUGGCAUCUCUCAUCCCCCGAUCCCUUGAGUACCUCCUCCGGGAGGCCCGCCACACCUGCAGACCCACAGCUGCCAGCAGCCUCACUUGCUGGAGAGACGUGUGCUGCAGCUGGCCCUGGAUAUGUGGCUCACGCCAGCCAGGCCCGAGUCCUGGUACAGCACUCAGCUCCAGAGAGACGUAGGUUCUCUGAAGAGGGUUGGCGGGGAGGGUUCCUUGGCAAAGAGAAUGUUUCCACCCAGAUGUUACUACUUAGCUUUGUUUUUCUGUUUGGCUCUGUUCCUCCCCUGUCUGGCCAGAGACAGAUCAUAGUCCUAGGCCUUGCCAACAUUUUUUAUGUAAUUCUUUUUUCAUUUUUGGUCAAAGUUUCUAAUUUAUCAGGAUACUGCUACAAUUAGAAGGGAGAUGUACAUAGGUAUGUGGGAAAUGUUUUCUGGCUUUAUAUAUAUAUAUAUAUAUAUAUAUAUAUAUAUAUAUAUUUAUUUAUUUAUUUAUUUUUAACAAUAUACAUUUUUAAUUAAAAGUUAUAUAUAUUAUUUCCACUGAGACUCUUCCUGAAAUUCCCUCUUUUUCUCCUGAGCUGAGAUCUGGUAGAGGAGAGAGAGUGCUAAGUGAGGAGUCAGGGACCUGGACUCGAGUUCAGCCCUGCCAUUAAUUUCCUGUGUGACUCUGAACAAGUCUCUUAGCCGCUCUGAGCUUCCCUUUCCUAUUUCCUAACAUUAUGUUUGUGUAUUUGAGGGGAGGGGGAUGGAAGUGAGCUUAAUAAGGUCUCUAAAGUCCCUUUCAACUCUAACAUUCUAUGGUUUAAACUGUGGCCUAAUGAUUUACAUGGUAUUUGUAGUUAGAUUUUAAUUAUUUUCUUUUUCUUUUAAGGUUAUCACAGUUGAGCCUGGGGUUCCAAAUUGACCUUACUCUCUGUGGGUACAUGCUGUUUGAUGAACUUUCAAGGGCCCCAGCUGCCAAAAAUAUACCUUCCAUGUGUCUGCCUUGGUCUCCUAUUCCCUCCUGUGCAAACUAAAAUUUUGCUUUAUUUUAAUUAAUUUUAAAUUGAUCAAAAUAAUCACAAUUUUAGCAGAAAAAGAAAGCAAAAAAAUUACCCUAAAUAUAAUCACUCAAAUGCAUCACAAUAAUUUUUUUUUCUGAAUUCAAAUCUUCUUCAUAUGCGUGUUACGUAGCUAUAAUCAUAUCCUUCAUAUCCUA